rnacentral:rRNA from 1 species
GUGGAUUAGAUACCCUGGUAGUCCACGCCCUAAACGAUGUCAACUAGCUGUUGGGGGUUUGAAUCCUUGGUAGCGAAGCUAACGCGAGAAGUUGACCGCCUGGGGAGUACGGCCGCAAGGUUAAAACUCAAAGGAAUUGACGGGGACCCGCACAAGCGGUGGAUGAUGUGGAUUAAUUCGAUGCAACGCGAAAAACCUUACCUGGUCUUGACAUGUAACGAAUCCUUGAGAGAUUGAGGAGUGCCCGAAAGGGAGCGUUAACACAGGUGCUGCAUGGUCGUCGCCAACU